GAAAAUAACAGCCUGGGUGAUGGUGAGUGUAUCAUAAAGAUCACACAGUGUAUCAAAUUUCCACUCUUCUCUCUCCACCGCUACAAAAAACUGCUUGAUGCCCUCUAGAGUCAAUUCAUCACGUUUUACAAGAAUCCGAACAGGAUCUGUCAUAAAUUUGCUUGUUAUCUCCAGAAUUUCAUUUGGAAGAGUGGCAGAAAUCAGUACAACCUGAAGCUCUGGUGGAAGAUAUCUGUAAACAUCAUAUAUCUGAUCUUUAAAACCACGGCUCAACAUCUCAUCAGAUUCAUCAAGAAUCAAUAAUUUUAUGGCCCUAGUUCGUAAAGUUCUCCUUUUAAUCAUGUCACAGACUCUUCCAGGA
rnacentral:misc_RNA from 1 species